CUUUUGAAGAAACAAGUUUGUAGAUAAUGCAUUCAUAGAAAGUAAGUCACUUUAACUUGUUGGUAUCAUCCAGAGGUAACUAGAAAUAGUAUGUUUGGUUUGGUAGGACUUUCUAACUGUAUGUUGUUCUUUUUCCUUUUUCAAAUACUUCCAUUAAAGGUCAAUGUCACUCUUUUAUGCUUAUAACAUCAUGUGUUGUUAUAAUUUUGUAUUUUUGUUUACUCUAAAAUAUUUCUCUUUUUAUUUCCCAGGAUUAUUUUGAAGUGAUAACUAACUUGUUCGUCGGAGUGUUUGUAGGAAGGUAUGUACGCUCUUGUCAUGAAUAGAUCAAAAUGAGUCUUGAGGUCAUUACAGGGAGAGCCAACCGUUGAGGUUACAAAUGAAGGUGUUGAUGCUGCAGGGCAUACAAUUGGUACAUCUUUGGAGGUCGUGUUCAAACUUAGGAAGGUUCUCAACCCCAAGAGUGUGAUCAAACCAACAUCACUAGCUAAAGAUUAUUUUGAGAAUAACAUCUAUCGAAUAAAUUUCAGACGAAAGACCUUGGUAAACUCCUAUAUUUUUGGGUAUUGAGGUAGUCCAAUCUAAAGAUUAUAUG